rnacentral:lncRNA from 1 species
AUACAACAUACAAUGUUAUAAUAAAAUCAGCAAAUGCAUCCAUAAAACAUCGUGAAAAAUAUCAACAAAGCAUGUAUCUUCCAAAGGAUGUUUAAAAGAAUAGAGUGGAGACUCCUGCCAAAUCUCUGCUGAAGGACAACUGAACCACAAGGGCACGGGGGCCCUCAAGAAGCACCCCAUCAGAGGAUAUUUGUGCAAGGUGAUAGCACCAAAUUUUUGGACAAUACAUUUCCCUGUGCUUCUGUAAUAUUAAUUGUCACAGAUAAUGCAGAUUGUAUGUGUAAAUCCAGUAACGGGCUUCCCACCCCUUCCUGGAGAGGUGAGAAUUUCCUUGCAUCUAAGAAAGUGUUGGGCAAAUGCUCUGCCACUGAGCUUUGGUCCUUCCCUUAAGACACAGGAAAAUAGGAAGCGGACUUGCACUGAGUCAGACCAAAUAACAGCUUCAGAGAAGUGUGUGGGAAGGAUUGUGACAGCGGUAGAAAUAAUUGAACUUCUACUCUCCAGCAGUUCCAGUGUUGAUCAGGCUUCUCCAGGGCAACUAUUUACACAACAACAACAACGUGCUUGGUAAAUUUGCAUUCACAUAAUUAAUAUUACAUUUUAUGCAAGUUUUGUGGCCCUGUUCAAUGAUACAACCCUUUUGGGCUCUGAUUCCAAAUGUGAUUGAUAAAACGGCUGGUUGUUUCAUACCACAAAAUCCCUAAAUAGUUUCUGAGUUAUCUUAAGGAUUUGAUUAAUGAUGUUGAUCUUGAAGUGGUUGUAAACCUACUUUACGGCUGCCAACAUGUUUACAGCAGCAAAUUGGAAGAAAGCACUUGUUCUGUUGAUGUCUGAAUGGCAUCCGGGAAGACAGAACAGGGCAAUUUUAUCCAAAUUAACCUGCUGUGGAAAUUAAUAGACAAACAAGUUUACUGGAGUAUGGAAUUUGUUUGCAGUGUUUUGGAAGAGUGAAUUCCAAGAUGACUUGGACAAUACUUUUUCUUUUUUCUUUGUGUAUGACAAGCAUCUACCACCUGCACUUUUCAGAAGCAUCCAAAGGCAUUGUUGCUCCUGCAGGCUUUCCCAGAUGGAUAGGUAAAGGUAAAGGGACCCCUGACCAUUAGGUCCAGUCGUGGACGACCCUGGGGUUACGGCGCUCAUCUUGCUUUAUUGGCCGAGGGAGCCGGCGUACAGCUUCCGGGUCAUGUGGCCAGCAUGACUAAGCCGCUUCUCGCGAACCAGAGCAGCGCACGGAAACGUCGUUUACCUUCCCGCCAGAGCAGUACCUAUUUAUCUACUUGCACUUGACGUGCUUUCGAACUGCUAGGUUGGCAGGAGCAGGGACCGAGCAACAGGAGCUCACCCCACUGCGGGGAUUCGAACGGCCGACCUUCUGAUCGGCAAGUCCUAGGCUCUGUGGUUUAACCCACAGCGCCACCCGUGGGUCUUUACCAUAAGUGUCCAUUCUUUGAGUUUUAGUCUUGUUAUAAAUUUACUUUUUUUGUGUUCUAACUUUUUAAAAUUAUCUUUCGUGCGAAUCACAUUGAGAUAGUGGUUUAGAAGACAAUUAAUAAAGCAACAGUAUUAUUAUUAUUAUUAUUAUUAUUAAUAAUAAUAAUAAUAAUCCACAACAGGUUAGUCAUUGUCCAUAAAAGGUUAUGUCAUAGUAAAUGUCUAGGGCUUUAAGGUAGCACAAGACUCUUGGUCAUAUACCUCAAGUACAGGUUACUGUGUGUAAUGUAUGUAAUUUGAUUUUAAGUACAAUUUCCAUCAGUGUUGAGGAUGAUGUUAACAAUAGCAAACAAUGCCUUCAGAGAGGUAAUCUCCCCUCCCUGCCCUGGGAACUUGGCAGGGAUAGCAAGAAUCAAACUCUCUCCAUCCCAUAAUCCUAAAUCUAGUCAGGUUUCCCAAGAAUUGCUAUUUACAUAACAAAAACAUGCAUGUUAAUUGGGAUUCACACACUUCUGCCAGCCAAGAACUAACCAUAUACUUGGUUUAGCCAAGUACAGUACGCAGAAAGCUGUUAAACUGGUUCAACACAUAAACUAUAAAAGCCUAACACCUAUAUAAGGGAGUAUGCCACGGUCUUCUAUCUGCACCUAAAUCUAUUGAGCUUUAAACCACUGAUAUGGGAGAAACACAGUUCAUUUCAAAUGGCUUUCAACCAGCCUUUGCCAACCUGGUCCUAGCACCAUCUAGAUGUUGGACUAUAACUCCCAUCAGUCCCAGCCAUUCAGGGCUGGAGUUGAUGAGAGUUGAAGUCCAAAACAUCUGGAUGGUGCAAGGUUGGAGACGGGUGGUUGAAAGCCAUCUGAAAUGAACUGCAUUUCUCCCAUGCAAAGGAAUGGUAAACAAUAGUUGCUUUGCCAACUGGUCUGGGAAACCAAACUGCAGCAAAGAGAGCAUUUUUAUCAAGCUUUGCUGAGACAACAAGAACAAGUUGGAUUCCUUAGGACUGAACUCUUUCUUUUUCCCUUUCAAUCCAGCCCACAAGGGGGAAGUGGAGGUUAACUUAGCAAAGGUGUCCAGAGAAAUGUCGUCCGCCCCCAAACCCCUCCAACUUCACAAUGAAACAUCUGCUGCUAAGAGUCUGCAUCAUUCUCAAUACUUGACCCAUCCUAGCCUGUGUAUAUCUCAUCAACAUGCCUAGGAAGAAAGCCAGUCUUCUGAAACAAUCUGUCAUCAAAAUUGUCACCAUGGAACAAUGAAACUGCCGCUGGUUCUCCGCAACCUCAUUAAUUCGUUUUCUGGGGGAACAGAUGUGUACCUGUCUUAGGUGAGACUUUGCACCAUCCCAAAUCCCUUCCAGCCACAUGCUGUUACCUUGCUGGCAAAUCAUCACUAUCAUCAACAGUCAGACAUGUUGCUUGCUGCAGAUUGGUUAUGGAGCUUCAAAGCAUUCCCCCGGAAGAAAAGGAAAAACAAACACAAAAUCCGUACAAUUUAUAAUGCCGGCAUUACGAUAUUUUAUAGAUUAUGAAUGCUG